GCCUGGGUGUACUGUCAGCAGCCAGGAUGAACCCCAGCCAUGUGGAAGUUGAUGGGAAUUUGCUUUAAUGGGGCCGGGAUUUCACCCGAGGUGUGGAAGGGCUUAAAAAGGAGCGUUGUUUCCAAAAACAGCUGCUCUGCCCCUUUUCUGCCAGGGAAACAAGUAGCAGGGAUGCAGUGCUGAUUCAGAGGUGCGGGUGAGUCAGUGCUGGAGCUGUCAAUGUGGAACUCACCGGGAUCGGCUGCAGCUUCAGGAUCCAGGGAUAACCCCGCAGAAAUGCCAUGGACAGACCUCAGCCCGGCCCUCCCCCGAGCCCCUUCCCCUGUCAGGAAAAAGAAGCUCACCUUACGUUAAAGGAGCUUUUCAAAUAGUUCAUCAGGUGGCAGAGCGUGUGGAGGCACUGGGACAGUUUGUGAUGAAGACCAGGAGGACCCUGAAGGGCCAUGGAAACAAAGUUCUCUGUAUGGACUGGUGCAAAGACAAGAGAAGAAUUGUGAGCUCUUCCCAGGAUGGGAAGGUGAUCGUGUGGGAUUCCUUCACUACCAACAAAGAGCACGCCGUGACCAUGCCGUGUACCUGGGUGAUGGCAUGUGCAUAUGCCCCUUCUGGAUGUGCCAUUGCUUGUGGUGGCCUGGACAACAAGUGUUCUGUGUACCCUCUGACAUUUGAAAAAAAUGAAAAUAUGGCUGCAAAGAAGAAAUCUGUUGCAAUGCACACGAACUACUUGUCUGCCUGCAGCUUCACUAACUCAGACAUGCAGAUUCUGACAGCAAGUGGAGAUGGAACUUGUGCUCUAUGGGAUGUUGAGAGUGGGCAACUUCUACAGAGUUUCCAUGGUCAUGGAGCUGAUGUCCUGUGCCUGGACCUGGCCCCUUCUGAAACGGGAAAUACAUUUGUUUCUGGGGGAUGUGACAAGAAAGCCAUGGUUUGGGACAUGCGGUCUGGUCAGUGUGUGCAGUCAUUUGAAACCCACGAUUCAGAUAUCAACAGUGUCAGAUAUUAUCCAAGUGGAGAUGCUUUUGCCUCUGGUUCAGACGAUGCCACGUGUCGUUUAUAUGACCUUCGUGCAGACAGAGAAGUAGCAAUUUAUUCCAAAGAGAGCAUCAUUUUUGGAGCAUCCAGUGUGGACUUCUCUCUCAGUGGUCGCCUGCUGUUCGCAGGCUACAACGAUUACACCAUCAAUGUGUGGGAUGUGCUGAAGGGGUCCCGCGUGUCCAUUCUGUUCGGACAUGAAAACCGCGUCAGCACCUUGCGGGUCUCUCCCGACGGGACCGCCUUCUGCUCGGGCUCCUGGGACCACACUCUGCGGAUCUGGGCGUAACCUGAGAUCCCGUCUGCAGAGUCAAAUGAAGACUGGAACCCUGGACUACAAAACUGCAUAAAGAAGCCACUCCUCAAUAUCAAAUAUUCACUACAGUCCAAAAGAGUGACAGUCCACAGAUUAACACAGCUAGGUAGAAAAUGUAGUCUGCUUGAACACGUAGCAAACAUCAACUUGUAGUAAAAUGAAAUGUUUUGAUUUUUUUUUUUGAAACUAUAUUCUUUUAUUAGAAUCAGUUUCAUUAUUUAUAAAGGGACUUUUCUCCAAAGUCACCUAUAUCAUUGAGUAUUUCAGUGCACAUUAUGUAUUUAUUUGCAUGAAUAGUUCCUUUUUAAAGUAAAAAAAAAAAAAGGUCCUGAUUUUAUCAGGAUAUAGCGAAAGGCUGUGGAAACAUUCCGUAGUAGCAUAUUGAAUUUCAGUGUUGAAAAACGGAAAGAGAAACAAUUCUGAUACUUUAUGAUGGUGUUAUGGAUGACUGAACCUUGGUGGUGAGUAGAGGAGCAAAGGACCUGCUGUGAAGGUACUGGCUGCUGUCAUAGAAAUGUAUUUUUUGUACAGAAAAAAAAUCCUUUCAAUCCCUGUUUUUUCCUACUGUCUUUUUAGAUAGAAAUAAGUAUUUCAUCUCUGUUACCUGAAUAUAAAGAAUCUAAAUAUAUACAAACUUAUAAACAGCAAAGAAGAGGGAUAUAAACAUGAUUUACAUAAUCAUGAGGUAAUACUUAACCAGUAGUUUCUUAGAAAUUUUUAAUUGUAUCACUUGGUGAGUGAAUUUUCUUUUACUUAAAGAAAUACUACAUGCUAAGCACUAAGGAAUACUACAUGCUAAGCAUUAAACACCAUUAUACUGAUGGUCAAAUCUUUUCCAAGUCAGUCAUAAUCAUUCUAUGACCAUAAUUCUUAUUUGCAUUUUGAGCAGUUCAUACAACUUUGGCAAGGCAAUGUAGCUUAAAUGUAUUUUAAAGCAGUAUAUGCCCAUCUUAAGGUCCUUCUGCAAUGUCAGAGCAGUUGUAAGUUCAUGCAAAUACAGGUGAAAUCAUACAGUCCUUGCUGUCACAGUCAUCUCCCACUGCCAUGCACAUGGUUUUGUCAUAGCUGGACUUGAGAGUGCAUAACAGUGAGCUGUUGAAAAUCUGCUGUGAGCCACAGCCCUGCCAGUGCUUGAUACUGUGCUGACCAGAGCACAUGACUCCAUCUGAUCCAGGAGUCACUGGUUUUCAGGAGAGCAGGACAGCUGGCCACAUUGCUGGCAGCACCCAGCCCUCUGCGUGAGCAUGGGAAUGCCACGAGAACUGGCAGAACCACCCCACACAGAAGUGAUGCUCUAGAAUCAAGAUUUAAUUAGAUAAAGAUGAGAUACAAUUAAUUAUGGCACCUUUGUGAGAUUAUAUCUGCAUUCAUACAUUGAAAACUGUUGGGACUAGAGUGUGUCAGCUCUGCUCAUACCAACAGGUUCCAAGUCUCACUUGAGCACAGGCACAAAGAGAUGGAGUAAUGCUGGGGGCUUGCACAGCCUGCCCUUUGAAAUGCAGGUGGUGAGGUACAGCUCUGAAUGUAUCAUAUAUAUGAUUUGUAUUUAGAUUGGAACAAGAGGAAACAAGCUUACUGGAAUGAACCUGUCUACGAGCUCACUGGUCACUGGAGUUUAAUGAUAACAUCCUCAUUAUAUUUGCAAGUGGUAUUUUUUUACAAUUAUAUAAAAAUCAUAUUAGAAACAAAGUCUCCUCAUCCAUGAAAACCUUAGGUUCUGCCAAUCCAUAACCAGUUAACCUAAGACACUGACAUUUAUACCAGCCUUCCAUCCCUAAUGGAAUAGAUCAGCUGUUUUCACUUGGAAAAGUCAACUCUGAUGCUUUGCAAUAUUUGUGGCAAGCUAUCCCUGUAACAAACUGAAUGCACUAUGGAAAUGUCAUAUAGAACUCACUGUGCAAUAUUGAGUCAAUACACUGUACACAUUUGAUCAAAAGAUUAAUAUUAAUGUUUAGGUAGUAUUUAUUGGCAAGAUGUUUGUUUCAAACAUAAUACAUUGUGUUGAUACUUAUGAACAGCCUAAAUACAAUAAAUUGUAUUUUACAUACUGA